rnacentral:rRNA from 1 species
UACGUAGGGCGCAAGCGUUAUCCGGAAUUAUUGGGCGUAAAGAGCUCGUAGGCGGUUUGUCGCGUCUGCCGUGAAAGUCCGGGGCUCAACUCCGGAUCUGCGGUGGGUACGGGCAGACUAGAGUGCGGUAGGGGAGACUGGAUUCCUGGUGUAGCGGUGGAAUGCGCAGAUAUCAGGAGGAACAGCCGAUGGCGAAGGCAGAUCUCUGGGCCGUGAACUGACGCUGAGGAGCGAAGCAUGGGGAGCGAACAGG